GCCGCAUUAGCACAAUGGUAGUGCGUCGCUUUCCUACCGGAAUAGGUUGCCUCUUGAGGCAGGCGAAGGUUGCGGGUUCGAGUCCCGUGUGUGGUU